CAGAUUCCAAGAAUGACAAUGAUAACAUUUUCCUGUCACCCCUGAGUAUCUCCACGGCUUUUGCUAUGACCAAGCUGGGUGCCUGUAAUGACACCCUCCAGCAACUGAUGGAGGUAUUUAAGUUUGACACCAUAUCUGAGAAAACAUCUGAUCAGAUCCACUUCUUCUUUGCCAAACUGAACUGCCGACUCUAUCGAAAAGCCAACAAAUCCUCCAAGUUAGUAUCAGCCAAUCGCCUUUUUGGAGACAAAUCCCUUACCUUCAAUGAGACCUACCAGGACAUCAGUGAGUUGGUAUACGGAGCCAAGCUCCAGCCCCUGGACUUCAAGGAAGGCCGAAUCACCGAUGUCAUUCCCUCGGAAGCCAUCAAUGAGCUCACUGUUCUGGUGCUGGUUAACACCAUUUACUUCAAGGGCCUGUGGAAGUCAAAGUUCAGCCCUGAGAACACAAGGAAGGAACUGUUCUACAAGGCUGAUGGCGAGUCGUGUUCAGCAUCUAUGAUGUACCAGGAAGGCAAGUUCCGUUAUCGGCGCGUGGCUGAAGGCACCCAGGUGCUUGAGUUGCCCUUCAAAGGUGAUGACAUCACCAUGGUCCUCAUCUUGCCCAAGCCUGAGAAGAGCCUGGUC
rnacentral:sRNA from 1 species